GAACCAAUAAUUUAGUAGCACCAUAUAGAAAUAAUAAAAUUUGCCUAACUAAAUAGUUACAAAUAUAUAUAAUUGGUUCCAAUAUAAUAUUUUUAUAAUCAUGAUAAUAUAUUAAUUCAGUUCAACAUAUGCAUAAAUUUCACUUACUCAUAGGAGUAUGUACUAGAAGAUUACUUAUUUUUCUUUGGUCUGCAGUUUCUGAUGGUAAAAGAAGUCUUGAUUACAUCUUCUUCAUCCAGUUGAAAGAAAACAUCUCGCUCAAUAUAUGUGAGUAGACAGUCAUCCAAAAGGCUAUCACCCAUCUUAUUUCUCAACUUACUUUUGAUGAAUGUCAUCGCAGAAAAUGCCCUCUCAACACCUGCUGUUGCCACAGGUAGAAGUAAUACUAAUUUGAGAAGCGUGUAUACUAAGUCAUAAACUUUAUGUCUCUUUGUUUGAACAAGCUUCAAUGACAGAUCAACAAGAUUUUCUAGGCCUUCAAAUAAAACAUCUUUUUUUUAUGUCAGUAAUAAAGUUACCCAACUGCAAUUCAAGUUUUAGUAAAUUGGUACCAAAUAUGUCCUUUGAAUAAAAAUCAGCAAGUCUGCUUAACUUCUGUGCAUCAAAAGAAGCAAAUGAGUCUUUAGGAUUGAAUGCCGACAUACAAGAAAGUAACUCCAUAUUAACCUCAUCAAAGCGAUUGUCAAGCUCUUGACUAAUUUGAUCAAUAACCCCAAUAUAUACUUCUCUUCUGAAGUGAUCAUCAUUUGUUUGGUUUUUGGCAAACCGAGCUGAUCUUCCAUAAGGCACAUAAUUAUUCUCCAUGAUAGGAACAUGGACAUCAUGUUUGUUGCAAAAUAAAGUGACCUUUUCAAGGAAUUGACUCCAUCCACUGGACCUUAAUUCUUGCAUUCUAUCCUUUGCCGCUCUAAUAAGUGAGACUGCAUUUAUAAUAUCUUGCUCCCUUCUUUGCAAUCACUCUGAUAAUUCAUUAAUGUAUCCCAAAAUGAUAAACAUCAAGUGUGUACUAAAAAUAUAAUCAAAUGACUCCAAUACUCCAACCAUAGUAUGUAUUUUUGGCCAAUCACUCUUUUGUGAAGUAUCAUUACCAAGAGAGAUGAGUACAUCACGUAUUGUGGGAUACAUACCAAUAAUGUUGACAACAGUUUUGUAGUGGGAUCCCCAACGAGUCUCGCCUGGUCUAGGCAAUCCCAUCUCUUGAUUUAAUCCACUUCCAGUUUGAAGUUCACCACAAUCAAUUGCUUUCAUGACAUUAUCAAGUCUUGCAUCUCGAAUCAUGCCAUGACGUUUACAAGAAACACCAACAAUAUUCAGCAAAAGAGACACUUGGUCAAAAAACCAAACACAGUCACUAUUCCCCUUGGCAACAGCAACAAGAACUAAUUGAAGUUGAUGAGCAAACCAAUGAAUAUAAUAAGCAGAUGGUGACUCUUGCAUGAUCAAUGUUUUGAGCCCUUUAACCUCUCCCUUCAUGUUGCUAGCACCAUCGUAACCUUGCCCACGAAUUUGAGUCAUAGUCAAACCAUUCAUUACAAGUAAAUCCUCAAUUUCUUUCUUAAGUGACAAAGAAGUAGUAUUAUCUACAUGAACAACUCCAAGAAAAUGCUCACAUGGUCUACCUAAUUUAUCAACAAAACACAAGCAAAGAGCAAGUUGUUCUCUAUGUGAUAUGUCACUAGACUCGUCAGCUAGAAUUGCAUAGGGCUCAUCACCAAUUCCUUCAACAAUUUUCUUCCUAGUUUCUAGGGCACAACACUGAAUAAUUUGUUUCUGUAUUUCAGGACUGGUUAAAGUGCAAUUACCUGGAGCAUUUUUCAAGACAUGCUUAUUCACUUCUUCACUAUUUUCUGCAAUAAAUUUCAGAAGUUCAAGAAAAUUCCCUCUGUUGCUAGAUUCUUCACUUUCAUCAUGUCCACGAAAUGCCAACCCUUGAUGCAAAAGAAACUUCAAACAUCUAAGUGAAUAAGCCAAUCUGAUCUUAUAGAGAUAAAGAUCAUCAUCACUCCAUUUGUCAAUACAAUUAUCAAUUGCAACAUUGGGAUUAACAAAGCCAUUGUAUCUCUCUUGAGCUGCAGCGUGUGCCUUAGAACCUUCAUGUUUAAGAAGUGCUUUGUCUCCUAUAUUCCAAUUUCUCCAACCACUUGUAGUAAAUGUAUCUGCCCCACUGCCUUUCUUAAACAAGUAGCAUACAAGACAAAACACAACAUCCUUUUUGACACUAUAUUCAAGCCAAUGAUAAUUAUAAAACCAUACCACAUUAAAGUGACGAUCUCUAUCUCCGAUCUUCCUUUUUGGAAAAUCAUGCCCAUAACAUUUGAAUGGACCUUUAAGUAUAUAUGUUCUUCGAAUUGAAUCUUGAUCAUUAACAUGAUAACUUUGAAUGGGUUGCCUUUCACCUGGAUCAAGUUGGAGACGAUUGAUGUCAUAGCCUGAAGGUGGUGCUGGUGUGAAUAACACUGAUCGGAUAGACAAUUGUUCUUCAAUUUGUCGCUCUUGAGGUUGCUCUUCUGUCUCAGCUGCAGCUGGACAUGGGAAAGGAGAUGGCAUAGCAACACUAGCAAGAGCCUUCUUUGCUGCAUGUUUCUGGAAAAGAGAAGCGAUAUCUCCUGUCCUCUUCAUAAUUUAUCUCAUUAACUGUAUAGGAAUACAAACUUAUUAAGG
rnacentral:lncRNA from 1 species